rnacentral:rRNA from 1 species
UACGAAGGGUGCAAGCGUUACUCGGAAUUACUGGGCGUAAAGCGUGCGUAGGCGGUCUGUUAAGUCCGUUGUGAAAGCCCUGGGCUCAACCUUGGAAUUGCAGUGGAUACUGGCGGGCUAGAGUGCGGUAGAGGAUGGUGGAAUUCCCGGUGUAGCGGUGAAAUGCGUAGAGAUCGGGAGGAACACCCGUGGCGAAGGCGGCCAUCUGGACCAGCACUGACGCUGAGGCACGAAAGCGUGGGUAGCAAACAGG